GCACAACGAGCAAACGGAAACCGGAAACGGAAGUGAAAGCGAAAGCAAAAGCGCAAGCGAAAGGCAGUGGCUCCAAAGCACAGUUAAUCGGGCAGAGAACCGAGUGCAGACAACAGCCCACUGAGAACUGAGCACUGAGAACCGAGCGCAGUGAAGUGUUUGUUUUCGCCGUUAUCAGUGGAUGCACGCCUUUCCAGCUCUGAUUGCGCGUAGGGAUCGGGCCAGAGACUGGGACUGGGAUUCCGAAUCCGCAUCCACAUCCGCAUCCACGUCCGAUUCAGAAUCAGAAUCAGUAUUGUAUCCAGGCGCGCGACCCGCACGGAGGAGGCGGCGAGCCGGAGAGGCGUGUCACUAGCAGGUGGCUGAGCCGGUUAACCAGAGUCCGACGGCAAAAACCUCCUCACAGCCGAAAACAUUUGGCCAUAAUUAACCGCAAGCCGAAAGCAGCGCCGAGGAAAAACAAACGCCAAAAUUGAAUCAGAAAAAUCACAGGUCGACGAAAAUGCGGGCCAAGUGCUUUGCCAAUUAUGCCGGAAUUGUUAACAAAAUACAAAGUGUAACAGACUAAAUAAAAUUGACAGCAGGAAACCGCAGGAAUUACAAAAGGACCAAAGCGACAGGCGACGACAGGUGGUCGCUUUUAGGGCCUGUUCUCCCUGAAUUCAUUUCGUAAAUAUAUAUUUAUAUAUAUGUGCUUUAGUAGGGGCGGAAAGCAACAGAGCAGAAGAACCCAAAACUCAAAGCCCAAACCCUAGCCCAAAUUGAAACCUCAAUAGAAACACACAAUCGGAAGCAGAACAAAAACUCACUUAGGCUGCCAUCCAAAUCAACGGCUGUCAGACAAAAAGUCGCUUUUUAUUGAUUUUUAUAAAGUCGAGCAGCAGCAGCAACAACAACACAACAACAACACCAAAAAGCAAUGAACAGCAAGGAAUAAUAACACAAGCCGCAGAAGCAGAAGCAAAAUAAAAAUAAAAAGAAUAAAUACAAAAACAAAAAGCGAACGCAAUGUGAAUAAUUCCCCAGUUGAACAGAGGCGAGCACGAAACGGAAAAACUACUACUACUGCUAUAUCCCCACUCACACCACUCAGCCCACUUACCCCACUCAUCCCACUUACCCAACUCCCAGUGCCCCCGCCUUCCCAGAUCCCCAACUAUAUAAUAUAGCACACUAUCGGAACGUACAUCAAAUGCGAUUCUAUUCGACUCGAUUCGAUUCGAUGACGAUUCAAACCGGAGACACCGGAGAGACGAACGCACACGGAGAGCCAUAAAAAUGUGUUAUAAAAAUAUACACGCAUAAAUUCCCCAAGCUCCCCCCUCCACAACCCCCGCAAGGACAUAAAUACACGGGAAAAACUUUUCAUGCAAAUGUCAUUGACAAAGUCAAUUAGCAGGAAACGGAAGCGCUGCAGCUGCACUAUUGAAAAUUUGAAACUCGAUUAAAGGCAUCGCAAAACACGAAAAGAAAGUGUGCUGGGCACAAAGCAAGACUGAUUUUAUGUUUAGUUAGAUUAUUUUAAAAAUAAACCCCAAAGCAAAAAAAGGAAGCGCAACUAUUUUGUGGGGAAAAACCCGAAACUGCAACAACGAAUUAGCCAAGCGGAAACCGUAGCAAAGAGGUAAACCGCCCACAGAGAAAAAAAGGGAAAGUUCCAACAGCAGCAGGAAAAACAGGAAAAGCAGCAAAGCAAGAAAAACAAAGCGCCCGCCAACAAAAGCAAAAGCAGGAUUCAUUCGAAAGCAUGUUUGUGCUCAUAGCUGUGCUGUUUGUUAACGCUUGCCUAGCGGGCACCAUUCCGGCCACGCCGGAGAACAUAACCGUUACGUUCCUCACGCCCACGGCGGUCCGAGUGUCGUGGCAGACGCAAAUCGAUCUGAAGGCACAUCCCAUCGAGAAGUACAU